UGGUGCAUGAAACAGGCUGGUGGGCUCGCUUUGUGAGCUGCCCUGGUCGGUUUCACGGUGAUUUCAUUGCCAACCAAACUAACGUGCUGCCCCCACCGCUUUCCCCUCAAUCACAGGCUGUGCAGCGAGACCUGGCUCGGACUGGUGCGAGUGUUAAUGUCCGCGGGGGACUCGGCGCCACUCGAGUGUGGAUGCCCGGCAGCAACAUCUUUGGGCAGGAGCAAAGAUCUUAUAGCUCUGCUAUAGGAUCUUUGGGCAGGAGAGCCGCUGCGGAACAGCGAGAGGAAGUUGGGCAAUAUCACUGCAGAAUGAGUCAUUCCGCAGACUGCGGUUUCCUCCUGCACACGCCCCGUGAUGAUGCAUUCCUCCCUCAACCACCCGCCCACUGAGUUUCACCCGGACCCAAGGAGCUGGAGGCCAGUUAGGCCGGGCGGUGAUGACUAAUCUACACAUUUUUCUCCGAUUAGUUGAACGUGAGGGAACCUUCCCUUUGCCACAAUUCCUUCCAGAUAUGUUUUUACCCCGCUCGAAGGAUUGAUUCACCUAAUGAAAGACUAGAGGUCACAGCUUUUAGUGACUGCAUCAUGGUUCCAUGAUCUUCUUCUUAUCGAGUCCACACACAGGAUUAGAUGUUUAUUCAGCCAGAGCUGAACAAACUUCUCAGCAUCUGCACACAAUGGUGUCCGUCUUGCGCUUGUUGUGCGCGGUGGUGAAAAACAGGGCCGCGACGUGAACGCUCUUUCCUUGACCCCAUAGUUCCAUGAUGAUGUCCAUGCCUUCAAUUCAUCUGCUUUACACCCUAGACUUCUGGACAGCUUUCUGUGAAUGGCUUGAAAUGUAUCCAUGUAUAGUCUUUGACAGAAUAGCACGCAAACAGCUUUGGUGCACAUGACAAUAAUAAACUAAACUAAACUUCUAGUGUUGAAGUAUAUUAUAACCUGCCGUCGAUCUUCCUUCCCACCUAUUUUCCGGCCUUUGGUUCCUUCCAAAUUCAUUUUCUGGUCACUUGCUCUCCAUUUGUAAGUUUUCUUGUGUCCCAGCUGAUUCCAUGCUUGAUCGCUGAUGUCAGGGUUACUUCCAGCUAAUGGUUCUAAAAUCCAUCCAAGAUUAGCCCCCGCCAGGCGACUCUCUGCGUGCCGGUCAAUGAAGUGGAUCAGGCCUUACUCUCUUUAAAACCUCGACACCAACGGCAGUAUUUCUUACUUGAACUCUGCUUUUCCUCACUCAACAUUAUUCACAUUAAUCCCUUUAUCAUGUAUCUAUACACUGUGAAUGCCUCAAUUGUAAUCGUGUAUGGUCUUUCCGCAGCAUGGUUAGCACACAACAAAAGCUUUUCACUGUACCUCGGUACAUGGGACAACAAAGCAAACUAUAAGUAGCUGAAGAGUUUCCUAUUAACUCUAUGUAGUAGCUCCAGUUUUGUGGCAAGUUUAGAUUUUAGACAUACAGGCCAUUUGAUACAAACAUGCCAUAUACCACGGAGUCUGCGCUGACCACCCACCACCCGUACACUACCACUAUUCUAAACACUCGGGACAAUUUAGAAUUUUUACCAAAGUCAAUGAAUCGACAAGUAUCCUAUACACAUGGGGCAAUUUUACAGCAGCCAAUUAAUCUACAAACCUGCAUAUCUUUGGGAUGGUGGAGGAAACCGGAGCAUCUGGAGUAAACCCAUGCGGUCACAGGGAGAACAUACAAACUCCGUACAGACAGCAACGGUAGUCAGGAUGGAACCCGGGUCGCUGUACGUACAGCAGCAACUCUACCGCUGCACCACUUGUCCUUGGAGGUGAAGUGCAGCUUUGUAAUGAGAGAGGUUGAAGAGAGUGUGCUGACUCCUCGCUGAGAUUGGCUAUGUUGUGGACCCAUCGGCUAGGAUUAUGGCAUGUCUGGCAUAAUUUAGCAAAUGUCAGAUAACAGAUAUGGAUCAGUAACUGUGGAUAGCUGAACUUGAUGAGGGUGUGCCACGUCAGGUUGUUCAGGAUUGAUGCCGUCAAAAGUUUCAAAUCUGCAACCUGCAGCCUACUUUUAUUGAAAGGAACCCCAAAUGUGGUGAACAUUGCAUUCACCAAAGCCCAUCCUUCCUAUAGCAGAGCAACCUGAUCUGUACACAGCACUCCAAAUGUGGCCAUACCAUCUGUAGAUGGUUAUGCAUGCAACCAAAUAUGUGGUUACCUCAUUACCAUAUUGACACUCCCACCUUAUGUAGUAUAAGUGUAGUAUCUGCAUGCACCCUCCCCCUGUAGGUUCCAGUACGUGUGUAGACAGUUGUGGUCAGUGCUGGGACGUGUGGAUGUAGUGUCUUAAUAAAGACUUAGUGAAGGACUAAGGACUACGUCAAAUAUCCUUUACACCAACCUCUUGCACAACAUGACACGUCAACUUCUGUACUCAUUACCCUGAGACAACACAAUGUAUUUCACUGAAGCUGUAUUUUUAUUAAUCCUGCUUUGAGCAAAGAUCCUCGAUGGGUCUAGGAUGCAAAUAAGGUAAAAUGUCUUCAGAAGCAAAUAAAUAUUAAUUAUGAUAAAUACA